rfam:Arenibacter nanhaiticus strain CGMCC 1.8863 genome assembly, contig: Ga0066783_105
UUGUAUUCGCGUUAGGGAUUGCAGCGGCAUCCUUUUUUAGGGGCAUCGCCCCUAAAAAAGAUACAGCGGAAAGCCCGGCCCGAU